CUACGUGCCAGCAGCCGCGGUAAUACGUAGGUGGCAAGCGUUGUCCGGAAUUAUUGGGCGUAAAGCGCGCGCAGGCGGAUUGGUCAGUCUGUCUUAAAAGUUCGGGGCUUAACCCCGUGAUGGGAUGGAAACUGCCAAUCUAGAGUAUCGGAGAGGAAAGUGGAAUUCCUGGUGUAGCGGUGGAAUGCGCAGAUAUCAGGAGGAACACCGAUGGCGAAGGCAGGUCUCUGGGCUGUAACUGACGCUGAGAAGCGAAAGCAUGGGGAGCGAACAGGAUUAGAUACCCUGGUAGUCCAUGCCGUAAACGUUGGGCACUAGGUGUGGGGGACAUUCCACGUUUUCCGCGCCGUAGCUAACGCAUUAAGUGCCCCGCCUGGGGAGUACGGCCGCAAGGCUAAAACUCAAAGAAAUUGACGGGGGCCCGCACAAGCGGCGGAGCAUGCGGAUUAAUUCGAUGCAACGCGAAGAACCUUACCAAGGCUUGACAU
rnacentral:rRNA from 1 species